UGAGUUCCAGUAAUAUCUGUAAGAGAGC
rnacentral:piRNA from 1 species